rnacentral:rRNA from 1 species
AGACGUCUACAUUAGAUACCCCUGUAGUCCCAGCCGUAAACUAUGCGCGUUAGGUGUAUCGGUGACCACGAGUCACCGAGGUGCCGAAGGGAAACCGUGAAACGUGCCGCCUGGGAAGUACGGUCGCAAGGCUGAAACUUAAAGGAAUUGCGGGGAGCACCACAACGGGUGGAGCCUGCGGUUUAAUUGGACUCAACGCCGGGAAGCUCACCGGAUAAGACAGCGGAAUGAUUGCCGGGCUGAAGACUCUGCAUGACUAGCUG